CCUUAUCCAGCAGGUAGAGGCCGAGAUAACCUGAAUACCCGGCACAGACAGGCUGCAAGUAACUUUAAGUUCGGUUUAAUGCCAUCAGUGGCUGGCAGUGGCUGUUCAAUCGGCUCUGCUCUGCUUAACCUCCUGGAGUGUUUAAAUUGACUCAUAAUGCCACCUGCUGUUGUAGAAGACGAAUUACUCAGGACAUUUGUGAGAAAAUCCUCAGCACAAUCAAGAGGGACCUGGAUGCAGACAAAAUGGUGGACACAGAGGCAGACAUCUUGGACCUCCGCCUUCGCAGGAAAUCACGUGACCUUAGCAGCGGAAGUUUGUCCUCUACAUGUUGUUUUUGCAUGAACAUCUGCAUUGUGCAUGUGUGGCAGAAAAGACGCUACACGCUGAACUUCCCCCUUCAGAGUGGUCGGACAGCGACUUCCAGUGGCAGAUUGGUGCAACUGCAGCUGCAUUUUUUUGAAUAAAACCAAAACUAGCAGAGAACAAAAUCACAAUUAUAUUCGUUUUUAUUUCACACUUACUUUGACAAUGUAAAUGCAUGUUCCCCAUGA